AGGUAGAGACAAAUACUCAAAAAAACAAUCUCAGUUCAGACUGCAGGCUGCAACUCGCCUGCACGAAGUCGGAAUUGCUAGUAAUCGUAGGUCAGCAUACUACGGUGAAUACGUUCCCGGGCCUUGUACACACCGCCCGUCAAACCAUGAGAGUUGGCAACACCCGAAGUCGGUAGUCUAACCGCAAGGAGGACGCCGCCGAAGGUGGGGUUGAUGAUUGGGGUGAAGUCGUAACAAGGUAGC
rnacentral:rRNA from 1 species